GUCAAAUACUUUGGCAGCUGAUUGAUGUUUGCAAAUAUUUGCUUGUUGUGUGCAAGUGAACUGUCUGGUUCGGAUUCGAGUUGUUUUGGUGGGCAUUUAAUUGUCGCUAGCCGUUUCGACAUUGUCAUUUACAUAACGUGUUGCGGGAAAAGUCUGUAGACGUCCAGCUAGAUCAGCCAGUGAAGUGAUUCCAUCAAACCAGACUAGAAAGACAACAUAAAGAUGGCACAACGGGCACCUAAUAAAAACCUUGUCGGCAGAUUGGUGAACAGCCUUAAGAGCAAGGAGUUUCGUGAUUAUUUAAUGAGCACACAUUUUUGGGGGCCAGUGGCUAANUC